CCUACGGGUGGCAGCAGUGAGGAAUAUUGGUCAAUGGGCGUAAGCCUGAACCAGCCAAGUCGCGUGAGGGAUGAAGGUUCUAUGGAUCGUAAACUUCUUUUAUAAGGGAAUAAAGUGUGGGACGUGUCCUGUUUUGUAUGUACCUUAUGAAUAAGGAUCGGCUAACUCCGUGCCAGCAGCCGCGGUAAUACGGAGGAUCCGAGCGUUAUCCGGAUUUAGUGGGUUUAAAGGGUGCGUAGGCGGCCUUUUAAGUCAGCGGUGAAAGUCUGUGGCUCAACCAUAGAAUUGCCGUGGAAACUGGGAGUCUUGAGUAUAGUUGAGGCAGGCGGAAUGCGUGGUGUAGCGGUGAAAUGCUUAGAUAUCACGCAGAACCCCGAUUGCGAAGGCAGCCUGCCAAGCCAUGACUGACGCUGAUGCUCGAAAGCGUGGGGAUCAAACAGGAUUAGAUACCCGGGUAGUC
rnacentral:rRNA from 1 species